CCUACGGGCGGCUGCAGUGAGGAAUAUUGGUCAAUGGGCGCGAGCCUGAACCAGCCAAGUCGCGUGAGGGAUGACGGUCCUACGGAUUGUAAACCUCUUUUGCCGGGGAGCAAGCGGGCGUGCGUGAACGCGCGUCGAGAGUACCCGGAGAAAAAGCAGCGGCUAACUCCGUGCCAGCAGCCGCGGUAAUACGGCGGAUGCGAGCGUUAGCCGGAUUGAUGGGGUUUAAAGGGUGCGUAGGCGGGAUGCCAAGUCAGCGGUAAAAAUGCGGGGCUCAACGCCGUCGCGCCGUUGGAACUGGCGUUCUUGAGUGGGCGAGAAGUAUGCGGACUGCGUGGUGUCGCGGUGA
rnacentral:rRNA from 1 species